ensembl:lncRNA
UUCUCUGUGAGCAGCAGGUCUAGCAGGGCACCUCACCUCUUAGCAGCUGCAUCAGGAAGUUAUCUUCCAUACACUCUAGAAACCUCCUAGGCUGCUUCUUCUGUGCUGUAUUUUAUUUCCAACAUGUAUUAGGGAAGUUGAAGUCCCCCAUGGGAACAAUGGCUGGUGUUUGUGCAAUUUCUGUUUUACAGUUUGCAGGAUAAAUUCCAGUACCACUGAGAUUAAUAACAAAACAAAACAACAACAACAACAAAAAAAACACCUUUCCUUUUCCCUUUUAGUCCUUUAGGAUAAAAUUUAAUUUUUAAACCUAAUUCACUUAAGCUGAUAUGAAAGUAUCCUUGGCAUUGCUACUCAUUCAUCUUAAAAGUAGAGGAGCAGUCACUUUUUUUUCCCCCUUUAUUAUUACGUUUCCUUUCUUCACUUCUGAGGACUAUAAAAAUAUCUCAGCCUUCUUGGUUUUUCAUUCAAAAGUUUCUCAGUCAGCCAGUAAUAACAAAAACAAGCUAAAUGUGAAAAUUAGCAACUAAUUCUCACAUUGAUAUUCUGAAAACCUGCCUAUUGUCACACAAAGUUCAGUUGCCUUACUUCAUUUUUCAGAGAAGCCAUGGUAAUACAUACAAGGUUUCAGUAAAUUAAUAUUACUCUAUUAACUGUCAUACUACAACUAAUAAGACUACUUGUACUUUGAUAUUGUUUUCACCAGUGGGAGACAGAAAUUCAGUACAAUACUUUGUACAUGGCAAACAGAUGCCAAGGCACAGUCUGAGUAUGAAAGAAAUCAACCUUUCUCAAGUCUUUCAUCUGAAUGGCAGAAUUGGGAUUUGGAUCUUUAGAAUUCCAGUUCACUUUUAAGACUAUAAGUAAUUAUAACUAUUUUAUACUUAUCAAAAUAAAUGGAAUUGUCAUACUCAGAUGAUUGUGGGCUAUGUUGCAAAGACUGAUGGUCAAGAAUGUUUCUUGGUCAUAAAUAAUCCACUGAUAAUAAAAAAAAUAAUGUUUUUCUACAUCAUAUGCUCAGAACAAUCCAGCUCCAGAACAACAGCAACUCCAACUCAGGAGUGAUGCUUAUUGUCAAAGAGAAGCCAGCUUAAAAUGCUAGAAAGACUGCAUGGUUGAACAAGUUGCUCCUGGCAAAACACACACAAAAAGGAAAACUACGGAGGGUAGAAGCAAGGACAGGUAACUUAUGAGGAAAAGAGAUAUUGUCAGGGAAAGAACAAAGAAAGACCUCAUUAUGUGAUACAGCAAAAAGGCCAAGGUGCCAAAUGCCUUCUUUUCGUGUUUACUGUUUACCAUAUCAGCCUUCAGAAGUCCCAGGUACUAGAGACCAGUGUGAAAGGCUGGAGCAAGAAAGAUGUUCCCCUGGUGGAAGUGGAUUAAUUCCAGGAAUACUUAAGCAAACUGGACAUUCACAAGUCCGUGAACCUUAAUGGAUGCGACCAUGUGUGCUGAGGGAACUGACAGAUAUCAUUGUGAGGCUGCUCUUUGUAAUCUUUCGUUAACAUGGCAACUGGAAGAAUAGAAGAAAGCAAAUGUCAUUCUUAUCUUCAAGAAGAGCAAGAAGGAGAACUGAGGGAACUACAGGCCAGUCAGUCUCACCUCAGUCCCUGUGAAAGUGAACCUGCUCAUGCUGGAAGCCAUUUCCAGGAACAUGAAGGAGAAGAAAAUCAUGAGGAGUAGUCAUCAUGGAAUCACUAAGAGGAAGUAAUUCCUGACCCACCUGAUAAACUUCUGUAAUGAGAUCGCCAGCCUGACUGACAGAGACUGAAUGCUACUCAAGCUGCGAAUACGGGAAGAGGAUGAAGCUUUGUCUCUCAUGACCUCCAGACAUCAUCAAAAGGAUUAUCAUAUUUGAUUCUCAAACAGUUGGGUUCCCUCACGACAUGACUAGAGCACUUUAAAUUGGUUUAAGUCCACACUUAAUCAAUUUCUCACUUUUUGGGCUUAUAAAUAUACUACACCACUAAGCAAGGAUAUGUGUGUUGUAUUAUGUAUUGUAUGAUUGGAUAAAUAUAAAUCAUUUUAAAAC